CUUUGAGACAUGGGAAGGGAGGAUCUGAGAAACUCUGGUCCAGCUGAACUCUUAUCAUCAUCAGCAUCUCCAUGCUGCUGACCAGAGGAUACCCUACACGUCAGUCAGGACUCCACUCUGCGAUCAACUCCCCUAGAAAUUUCCUGAGCAGCUCAGACACUGCUGGGCCCUGCACCUCCCGUGGCACAGGAAGUGAUCCCACGCUUGGCCACGGCUGACUGGAUCUAGGAUCAAGGCUUGAACCAAAAGCAUCCACCUGCAGGCUGAUGAGAAACCUGUACUCUUCUAGCCACUGGAGACACAGCGGUGAACGAAAUCACGUGUCGGCUCUCAGAGUCUUCCAUUCAUCAUCCCAUUCCCUCUAUGACCUUGGCUGCCAGCACCAUCACUAUAAUGCCAUCAACCAUUGUUUCCUGAGCACUUGGCUUGGAGAGGAGCACAUAAAAAAGCUACCCCAUCCUUGCAGCCCAGGUUCCGCUUCCUACCUUGUCAUCAGCACAGACGGAAAUUCCUCUUUACAGAGAUAUGUCUCCAGUUUUCCCCCAGAGUGUAGCCCCACCCCAGUGCCCAAUGGGUGGAGGAGGGCUGCCUGGCCUGCUUGGAAACUUUAUUUCAGUGUAAAAAGGAACUGAUGCUUCAUCCCAGAGACAGCUGCAUUUCCCCAGAGCAGGAAAUGAAAUAACACAAAGACUGUGGUUCUCCCAAAUGAAAAAAAUGCCCAUGAGAUGCCAGGGAGGGACUGGGGAGAACACUGUGGCUUGUGCUGGGCUCCAGCAGCCUCUGCCUACAAGUGGCAUCUCAGCAAGACCCUCCUAAAGAGUAACUGAUAGGUCAAUAAGGGAACAUUGGUAGGGGGAACAGAUGAUCCUUAAUUCUCUGACUGCAGAUGAGCUCAUGUACUCACCCAAGUGGCUCCUGUUUUCCCUCCUCCCCCUCCCAGCAUCUGGCUUCCUUCUAACCUGGCACUCUGUAUUACAGAGGGCUCCAUCAGCCCCCAGGGCUGGGAUUUAUUUAAAUGAUGAAUGAGCAGUGUGGCCCAAGUGUGUGUUAAGCAAUGUUUAUUAUGAUCAAUAAAUCGUGGUCUCAUAUCUGAUCCAGAGAAGGAAAUAGCUCGGGAGCCCAGGAUGAGGUGGGCACCGCCGAGGCAAGACAGACUCUGGUUG